rnacentral:rRNA from 1 species
CAGUAGCCGCGGUAAUACAGAGGGUGCAAGCGUUAAUCGGAAUUACUGGGCGUAAAGCGCGCGUAGGUGGUUUGUUAAGUUGGAUGUGAAAGCCCCGGGCUCAACCUGGGAACUGCAUCCAAAACUGGCAAGCUAGAGUACGGUAGAGGGUGGUGGAAUUUCCUGUGUAGCGGUGAAAUGCGUAGAUAUAGGAAGGAACACCAGUGGCGAAGGCGACCACCUGGACUGAUACUGACACUGAGGUGCGAAAGCGUGGGGAGCAAACAGGAUUAGAGACCCCCGUAGUCCCUGUCUCUUAUAC